AUGGGGGCGGAAGUCGACGCACUGUACGAGAUCGGCCGCCACGCGACUGGAUCCCACGAAAUCCCUUGUGAAAGAGACGAAACCGCUCGAGCGAGCGGCGGCAGUUCAGGUGAAGGAGGAGGCGUCCUCUCGUAUCUCUCCUUCCAAGGCGUAAGUAAGCUCAGGGAGAGGUGGAGCAGGUACAACACUCUUGGGGGGAGUAAGCGGAGGAAGAGGGAAAAUGCAGCAUCCUUGUUCGUCUCGCGGAAUGCGGAGUAUGUUGCUGUAGCUGUUGGGAACCGCAUUUAUAUCUUGAGAAAGAGCGAUGGCUAUGAAUCACCCUGCGGCAUAUAUACAAACUGUUACAAGUUUUCGGAGCCGGAUAAUAGCGGUGAUGGCUCAGCAUGGGACAGUCGUAUCAUCAGGCUUCGUUUAUUGUGGUACAACGACUUGCUGGAGACAUUCUUGGGAAUUAUUAUGGGAAGGUACAAAGCAAACUGA
rnacentral:rRNA from 1 species